UAACGAUUGAGAUUAAAAAAAUAAAAAUAAAAAUAAAAAUUUUGAUCCUACUUGUUCAAAACAAAAUGUAGCGUUGGUUUCAGAUUUUCAUAAGGAAACACUCACGAAUUCAACACACACUCAGUGGUUCUUGUCCGAACCCACUCUAGACGGCGACCCAAUACCGGCGAUAACCCAGUCUCCACACCGUUGCAAGGACCGACGACGUCACAGGCUAUGGACAAGCUGAAAGACAAGCAACAUGAUCCUGAAAUUCACCUACAAAGUGAAGUCAUAGCAGCUCAAUGUGAAGCAGAAAGACAAGCAAACUGUGUUUUCAAAUUGUGAAGUAAUGUGUUAAUGGCUUGUAUGUUAAUGGCUUA